GUUCACAGGUGCAGCUGCAGAGCCGUCCAUCACGAUAGUUAAUAUCACAGAGUUUGGGGUCCUGCUGCAGUGUGAAGUUAGAGGUGCUUUUCCUAAACCUACAGUAGAGUGGCAGGACGGUGCUGGAAACAAACUUCCUGCUGAGGAGACACAGGUCUCAGAAAGAGAAGGUCACUUCUACAUCACCCUCCAAACCACUGUGACCAAGACCAAAACCAACCGCUUCCACUGUGUAGUCCAGCAGGACGACAUCGGUCAUAUAAUCAGUAGUAACAUCACUUUGCCAGAGAAACUGUUUGUGGACACGUACAGCAGAGGGGACGUCACAGGAUGGUUGUUUGGUGGAAUCGUUUUGGGAGCUGUAAUUGUUGCUGCUGUUCUAGUUUUUCUUGUAGCUACAAAGUUCAUCACAGAACGCUGUAAUAAAGGAGCAGCUAAACAGAAAAACAGGAAGAAAAACAAAAGAGUGGAGGAAUCAAACCUGCAGGCUCCACCAGGUGAGUUACCGGGCGCCCCUUACGUUUGGUAUUUACAUUAAUAAAAAUAAAAAAAUC